ensembl:snRNA U1 U1 spliceosomal RNA
GUAUUUACCUGGUAGGGAAAUACCAUGAUCAUGUAGGUGCAUGUAGCCUCUUUCUUAGGGUGAGGUUUAUCCACUGCACUCUGGAUGUGCCUGUUCCUGUGAGUUUCCCAAAUGUGGGAAACUUGACUGCAUAAUUUGUGGUAGUGGGAUACUAGGUUUGCAGUUUAAAAAUAUCACA